GACGAACGCUGGCGGCGUGCUUAACACAUGCAAGUCGAACGCUGAAGGCCCAGCUUGCUGGGUUGGAUGAGUGGCGAACGGGUGAGUAACACGUGAGUAACCUGCCCCCUUCUUUGGGAUAACGGUCGGAAACGGCUGCUAAUACCGGGUAUUCACUGUCCUUCGCAUGGGGGGUGGUGGAAAGGUUUUUUCUGGUGGGGGAUGGGCUCGCGGCCUAUCAGCUUGUUGGUGGGGUGAUGGCUUACCAAGGCUUUGACGGGUAACCGGCCUGAGAGGGUGACCGGUCACAUUGGGACUGAGAUACGGCCCAGACUCCUACGGGAGGCAGCAGUGGGGAAUAUUGCACAAUGGGCGAAAGCCUGAUGCAGCGACGCCGCGUGAGGGAUGACGGCCUUCGGGUUGUAAACCUCUUUCGCUCAUGGUCAAGCCGCAACAGUGGUUGUGGUGAGGGUAGUGGGUAAAGAAGCACCGGCUAACUACGUGCCAGCAGCCGCGGUAAUACGUAGGGUGCGAGCGUUGCCUGCAAUUAUUGGGCGUAAAGGGCUUGUAGGC
rnacentral:rRNA from 1 species